GACGAACGCUGGCGGCGUGCCUAAUACAUGCAAGUCGAACGAAGCUGUUUUAACUGGUGCUUGCACCGACUUAAACAACUGAGUGGCGAACGGGUGAGUAACACGUGGGUAACCUGCCCCAAAGCGGGGGAUAACAUUUGGAAACAGAUGCUAAUACCGCAUAACCACAGAAACCACAUGGUUUCUGUGUCAAAGAUGGUUUCGGCUAUCACUUUGGGAUGGACCCGCGGCGUAUUAGCUAGUUGGUAAGGUAAUGGCUUACCAAGGCAAUGAUACGUAGCCGAACUGAGAGGUGGGUCGGCCACAUUGGGACUGAGACACGGCCCAAACUCCUACGGGAGGCAGCAGUAGGGAAUCUUCCACAAUGGACGAAAGUCUGAUGGAGCAACGCCGCGUGAGUGAAGAAGGUUUUCGGAUCGUAAAACUCUGUUGUCAGAGAAGAACGUGUGCGAGAGUAACUGCUCGUGCAGUGACGGUAUCUGGCCAGAAAGCCACGGCUAACUACGUGCCAGCCGCCGCAGUAA
rnacentral:rRNA from 1 species